rnacentral:rRNA from 1 species
UAGGGAAUCUUCGGCAAUGGACGGAAAGUCUGACCGAGCAACGCCGCGUGAGUGGAGAAGGUUUUCGGAUCGUAAACUCUGUUGUUAGAGAAGAACAAGGGUGAGAGUAACUGUUCACCCCUUGACGGUAUCUAACCAGAAAGCCACGGCUAACUACGUGCCAG